UUUGUUACAAGUCCGAGUACUAAUAUACAUUUAAUUUCCAGAUUAAAUGAUAACUGUAAAGCUGCGUUUAGUAAUAUUGACAGAUUGCUCGCUCGAUGUCAUUAAAAUGUCAGCAAAUGACAUCGAGCGAGCAAUCUCUCAAUAUUACUAAACACAGGUUACGCAAGUAAUCUUAUUUUCAUAAUUUGCGUCCAAAUUAAUAAUAAAUUUGAAUGUAUAUUCAAUGUUUCAAUAUUUAUUCUUUACAUUUAUUCCGGCCUUCCGAUCAACGACUCAAUUGUAGAAUAGCAAGUCAUAUUCAUGUGCGACAUACGACAAAUGACUAACCGACAUCGACAUUGACAUAUGACUGAUUGUAAAACGGGCCUUAGAAUCUUGUCACAUUGGCUACGGUACUAACAUAUGAUGUCAAGAUCAUGACCUUGAGUAACAUUUAAAGGUUUUAAUCAUCAGUCGAACAUCUUAGGAUUGCAACCUAAGAACAUAUACUACUGGAAGCAGAAUUGAGCGCUGAAUGUGAAGUCAACAUCUGUGUGAGAAAGAAAGCUAUAGAGUCCCAGUUGAUUGUAAAGCCCUAAACACAAUGCGAGGCAACAGCAAUAGCGAUAGAAAUAGCGAUAGCAAUAGGAACAGAGGAAUCCAUAUGUUAAUGUACAUACGAGAAUGCAUAUGUUAAUGUACAUAUGAACACGGAAUAAAACAAUAGCGAUAAAUUUUCGAGUUGAAA